rnacentral:lncRNA from 1 species
ACUCUUUAUAUUCUUUGCAACAGAUAUGUAAUUAAAUAAUGCAAUGAUUUGAACAAAUUUAUAUUAAAAAUUGACUAUCAAAAACUCUUACCUAUGAAAUACAAAUGGAAAUGAGAAACACAUAAUGGUAUUGUUUCUUCUCAAUAUACAUGAUAUCAGAAAGAUUGAGAAGACAGAAAUGUUGGGAACCAUAGUUAAUAUUACUCGGUUAAUAAAAUGGGAGACACUUAAAAAUUAAAGGAAUACGUGUACAAUAAAUAGAAUACCGUUUACUACUGAAAGUGAGUCAAGUCCAUAAUAGAGCACUAAGCAAGCGAUUUCAGGACUCGAAUAACCCAUAUUGUUUUUAACUCUAAUAUACAUGAAGUUUUUUAUUUUCUUCAAAUGUACGUUGUUCAUCUUCCAUAAGAAGUAAAAGCCGAAGACAUUGUUUGCCGAAGUGCUCUUCAAAACUAUAGCAUUCCUUUCCCACAUCCAAGUUAAAGUUGCAUGAGAUUAAUAUGACUAAUGAAAAUAUAAGUAAACGUGCAUUUACAUUUCAGAGUGAUGAAAACACAUGAAAAUGCUUUUUUGUCAUAAAGCCAUAGAAAAAUGGUAACUUCACAAAAUAUACCUCUAAACUAGCUCGGGGCAUAUUUUGGUUCAAACCGAAAAAAUCAAAAAGUCAAAUCAAAAUUUAUUUUUGAUUUUAAUUUUUUAUUUUUUUCGGAUCGAUUUCAAUUCAAAUUUUAGAAAUUCGGUUAAACGGUUUGGUUUUCAAUUUUUUUUAAAAAAAAAUGGUUAAACCGAAAAAUCAAAAUUAUAUAUAUAUAUGUGUGUGUGUGUGUGUGUGUACAUAUAUAUAUUCAGUAUAAGUAAUAUUUUUCGGUUAUAUCAUUUCAUUUCAUCCAUGUUGAGUUAUUUAUAUUUGGAAAUAAAAAAGAGGUUUGAAAAAUUAUUUUUUCUAAAAAAAAUUAAAAAAAUCACCAAUUUUAAAUGCUUAGUCAUAACAAAGAAAGAUUCACUACUUUAAUCUUCAAAACCUAAAUAAAAAUUCGAAAUAACCGAAUUGAAUUUAUAGAAAUCAAAUUUAUUUUGAUUUGGUUACAGUUGUCAUUUUCAUGAAUCCAAAAAUCAAAAGACGAAACCAAUAUUAAACAACCAAAUUGAACAAAUCGAAUGGCCAUCCCUACUCUGAACUAAUGAAUUCACAAUUAAAUACAAAAUAAGAAAAUUUUCCAUUUAGUUUGUAACUAUAACUUUUUACAUCGCCAAUCUAGAUUGAAAGUUUUGCCUACAAAAAUUAAUAAUUCUAUAAUUAUAGAGUUACCGGUACAAAAUGAAAUGAAAGGUGAUUAUAUAACCCAAAAAUACUUAAUGUGUUUUGGUCCAUAAAUCAACAAAUAAAUUCACAAGAGUACAUUAAUAAAAAAUAAUAAGAUAUAAACAAACUAAAGCAAAGAUCAUAACUACCGCUAACUAUAUAUGCAUAUGCUAGAAUAUAGAGAUAAAGUAAAACUUCUAAAUAUGAGAUAUCAUGCAAGAAAAAUAACACAUAGCUUUAUACACCCAGAUUUAAUCAACCAAAACUUCAAUUAGUCCCACCCAUAUGAAAGAAAAAAAAAAAAAAAAAAGGGGGGGUAAAAAGUAAAUAAAGAACAAGAUGCAGAAAUGAAGAUGGAACUUGAACAACUCUGUAGGUAAUUUUAUUUAUAGAAUGGUUCAAACUAUAUGGAUUAAGUAAAUGAAAGUUGAAGAAACACGAAAUUUAAGUAGGAGAAUGUAAAUAAAUUUUUUUGUAACUCAUUUGAUAUAAUUAUUACAAUAAAUAUGGUAGUUUUUAAAAUUGGCAAAUAAAUCAACUAAAAAGGAAUGAAGAAAAAAGAAAAAUAUGAAUGGAGACCAUAGAUAGAUGUCACAUCACCUUAUUCAUAAUAACUACUCAUAUAUAUAUAUACUAGUAGAGCAUGGCCCGUAUCAGUACGAGCCCAAUAUUAAGAUAUUUUGAUUAUGUAUGAUAAGUUAGAUUAAUAUAAAUUUAAAUUAUGAAUUAUAAAACAUGAAUACAUAAAAUAUAUUAACUACUUGAUAGUAUUUUUCAAGAAGCCAAAUUGUCUCACAAGAUAAUUAUAUAUAACUUACUCAUAUAAAUAACAAAAUUUGAUGCAUUUUGAAGUUUAGAGCUUUAAUCAUAUGACUUAGUUUUGCUACAUUAAGCAUAAAGUAUGAGACUAAAAUUGAUACAUAAGACUUGGCACCUAUUGUAUAAAAUAAAAAAUAAUUGUUGAAAAAUAUAAAGGGUUAUCUAGUCAUUGCAUAUUACAUCAUAGGUGGAUUGCAAUUAAUAAUUUAAAAUUGCAUUUUAUUCCCCUACUAAGCCGACAUAAACAUCCUUUACUUUCUUCUCCUUCUCUUUUAUUUAUCAACUUGUUCUUUAAAAUUAAAUUAAAUUAAUAUUUUAAAUUUAAAUUUUAAGUGUUUCAAAAGUUAUAUAAAAAAGAAAACUAUAUAAGUUAUGGUCUUUCAUAUUAAUUUAAGUUAUUUGACUUUGACAACACGAUAAAACAUACUUUUGUAGAUGUUUUACGUAAUUUCCAUACGUUACUUUUCUUGUCCAUUUUUUGUGGCAUUGAUAGUCAACUAUAUUGUUAAAAUAAUUUAAGUUUUUAAUUAUUGUGAUUAAUAAUACUUUUCUUCUAUUCUAAUUUAUGUGACACCAAUAUGAUUUCGAGAGUCAAUCAAAUAUUUUAUAACGUUCAAAUUUUUUAAUUUGUUAAUUAUUUUGAUUUAUAAUAUUUUUUUACUUUUUUUAAAAAAAAUAUAUAACAGAUUA